rnacentral:rRNA from 1 species
UACGUAGGGGGCUAGCGUUGUCCGGAAUCAUUGGGCGUAAAGAGCGUGUAGGCGGCCCGGUAAGUCCGCUGUAAAAGUCAAAGGCUCAACCUUUGAAUGUCAGUGGAUACUGCCGGGCUAGAGUCCGGAAGAGGAAAGUGGAAUUCCUGGUGUAGCGGUGAAAUGCGCAGAUAUCAGGAAGAACACCAAUGACGAAAGCAGCUUCUGGGACGGUACUGACGCUGGAGACGCGAAAGCGUGGGGAGCGAACAGG